AACGAACGCUGGCGGCGUGCCUAACACAUGCAAGUCGAACGGAACGGUCCUGUCUUUUUGGGGUCGUCUGGUUGCCGCCUGGGAAGCUACCCUUGGGUUCCCUGUCCCUCACCUUGGGGUAACCUCAGGCAACUUGGGGUAAUCCCGGCUAGGAGCUCCCGCCUUUUGGUGGGGGGUGGUAGGAUUCGGUGGUUGGUGAUGGAAUCGCGGCCUAUCGGCUUGAUGGAGGGGUAGUGGAUUACCAAGGUCAUGAAGGGUAGCCGGGCUGAGCGGGGGAGCGGCCACAUUGGGACGGAGAUAAGGCCCAGACUCCUACGGGAGGCAGCAGUGGGGUAUAUAGCACAAUGGGCGGAAGCCUGAUGCAGCAACGCAGCGUGCGGGAUGACGGCAUUCGGGUUGUAAACCGCUGUCGCCUGAGACGAAGCGUGAGUGACGGUAAUGGGUAAAGAAGCACCGGCUAACUACGUG
rnacentral:rRNA from 1 species